GACGAACGCUGGCGGCGUGCUUAACACAUGCAAGUCGAACGAAAAUACCAAGCUUGCUUGGUUGAUUAGUGGCGAACGGGUGAGGAACACGUGAGUAACCUGCCCCUUACUUUCCUGGAUAACUGCUCGAAAGGGUAGCUAAUACGGGAUAUUCUGACCAGCCUGCAUGGGUUGGUUUGGAAAGGUUGUUUUUCUGGUAAGGGAUGGGCUCGCGGCCUAUCAGCUUGUUGGUGGGGUGAUGGCCUACCAAGGCUUUGACGGGUAGCCGGCCUGGGAGGGUGGCCGGUCACACUUGGACUGCGAUCCGGCCCAGACUCCUACGGGAGGCAGCAGUGGGGUAUAUUGCGCAAUGGGCGCAAGCCUGAUGCAGCGACGCCGCGUGAGGGAUGAAUGCCUUCGGGUUGUAAACCUCUUUCGUCAGGGAACAAGGCACUGCUUUUUUGGUGGUGUUGAGGGUACCUGGAUAAGAAGCGCCGGCUAACUACGUG
rnacentral:rRNA from 1 species